AAGAAACCAACAGGGAUUGCCCUAGUAACGGCGAGUGAAGCGGCAACAGCUCAAAUUUGAAAUCUGGCGCAAGCCCGAGUUGUAAUUUGUAGAGGAUGCUUCUGGGUAGCGGCCGGUCUAAGUUCCUUGGAACAGGACGUCACAGAGGGUGAGAAUCCCGUAUGUGAUCGGCGCGCGCCCUCUACGUAGCUCCUUCGACGAGUCGAGUUGUUUGGGAAUGCAGCUCUAAAUGGGAGGUAAAUUUCUUCUAAAGCUAAAUACUGGCCAGAGACCGAUAGCGCACAAGUAGAGUGAUCGAAAGAUGAAAAGCACUUUGGAAAGAGAGUUAAAAAGCACGUGAAAUUGUUGAAAGGGAAGCGCUUGCAACCAGACUUGUCGGCGGUGUUCCCCCGGUCUUCUGACCGGGCUACUCACCGCCAGCAGGCCAUCAUCGUCUGGGGCCGCCGGAGAAAUCGUCAGGAAUGUGGCUCCCUCGGGAGUGUUAUAGCCUGGCGCCAUGCGGCGCGCCCCGGGCGAGGUCCGCGCACUGCAAGGAUGAUGGCGUAAUGGUUGUCAGCGGCCCGUCUUGAAACACGGACCAAGGAGUCUAACAUCUAUGCGAGUGUUCGGGUGUCAAACCCCUACGCGUAAUGAAAGUGAACGGAGGUGGGAGCUUCGGCGCACCAUCGACCGAUCCUGAUGUCCUCGGAUGGAUUUGAGUAAGAGCAUAGCUGUUGGGACCCGAAAGAUGGUGAACUAUGCCUGAAUAGGGUGAAGCCAGAGGAAACUCUGGUGGAGGCUCGCAGCGGUUCUGACGUGCAAAUCGAUCGUCAAAUUUGGGUAUAGGGGCGAAAGACUAAUCGAACCAU
rnacentral:rRNA from 1 species